rnacentral:rRNA from 1 species
CUACGGGGUGCAGCAGUGGGGAAUAUUGCACAAUGGGCGCAAGCCUGAUGCAGCCAUGCCGCGUGUAUGAAGAAGGCCUUCGGGUUGUAAAGUACUUUCAGCGGGGAGGAAGGGAGUAAAGUUAAUACCUUUGCUCAUUGACGUUACCUGCAGAAGAAGCACCGGCUAACUCCAUGCCAGCAGCCGCGGUAAUACGGAGGGUGCAAGCGUUAAUCGGAAUUACUGGGCGUAAAGCGCACGCAGGCGGUUUGUUAAGUCAGAUGUGAAAUCCCCGGGCUCAACCUGGGAACUGCAUCUGAUACUGGCAAGCUUGAGUCUCGUAGAGGGGGGUAGAAUUCCAGGUGUAGCGGUGAAAUGCGUAGAGAUCUGGAGGAAUACCGGUGGCGAAGGCGGCCCCCUGGACGAAGACUGACGCUCAGGUGCGAAAGCGUGGGGAGCAAACAGGAUUAGAUACCCUUGUAGUC